CAAAAAACGUUCCCAACUCUUCAGGGAUCAAAACUUGAAACCACCCGAGUUAAAUCCAGACGACAGUAGAUCAGAAAUGUCUCUAUUCUGCAAGACCCCCCUCCACUCACACUGUGCUGGCUCACAGAAAGAGCAUGUCAUCAUUUUGGUCAAGGCGUUCUAUGGCAGGUUCAGCAACUGAGGGAGCUGACUUAAAUGAGUAAGCAGAUGAUGUGCCAAAAAGCUGCAAAACGUCAUCAGGCAGCUUGUGCUCAUAGCAAGCAUCACCAGACAGCUUCAGACCAUAUCGGACAUAAAGGAUGGAGUUCAGGGUCUGCAAGGACAUCCGGUUUCUGAGUUUGCUUUUUACCACACUCAUCUGGCUGAAUAGUCUCUCGACUUCAGCAUUCGAGUGUGGCAAGGACAGCACAGACACAGCAGCCAUGAUGGAUGGAACGCCACUGCUGGACAAUCUUGUCUAUAUCUGCAGGAGAGUAGCCAAGGAGCUUGGCUAUUUUUUCGAUUUCUCCCAGGCUCUUACUGUGAUUUAGAGUUUUCUCUACAUUGAAAACGGACAUGUACUGCAAUGCCUCAAUAUUGUCUGGCAGUCUCAAUCUCAACUCGUGAGUGAGGGAGAUGGUGAAGGCUACACACCGCUUUCGGACCUGGUUCUUCUCCUCAGGCGCAAGAAGGAGCUCAGCUGCCUUGGACUCAAAAAGGUAACCAAGGUACGGUGAGGGACUAAUGUAUCCAUCAAUUGGCUCUUUGAGAACAUCAAUAUUGGCAAGUGGAUUCAGCACCCUGCUACUCACAGACUUGAUCAGGCUAACCAAGCUGUCAAGUAGCUUCAAAGGAUCCACCUGCUCUCCCUCAAAAGCCUUGAUCGCCAACUGCACCUCACCCAGCACCGACUUUAAAAAAGUGAGGUACAAAAUGUUCUGAGGAUCACUGUACAUGGAGUACCCGUAUGUGUGUGUGAAAGAAUAGCCUGUACUUCAACAUCAACGAAAGUGCUCGAUAUACUUUAUUACUGCACUGGUAAGGUAAAAUUAGGCCGAUUAAUAAGAUGUGAAGUGCUUUGUAACUUUGACCUGCUUGACACAACACACAAUGAAGAAAGAGUUUUAUCUGGGCUGCCAGCUGCUCCCCCGGGACCCGAAAGUGGCGUAGGCUAUAUAUAGCCUGUACUUCAACGAAAGUGCUCGAUAUAUGCUAUAUUGAACCAAUAAACUAACACAAACUAACUGUAUCACUAUAACAUGAUGAUGAUGAUGGUGAUAAAGAAUGCAUCUAACGUUCC